ACAUAUACUGUAGCUAUAGGCUAUAGCUAUAUUCUGUGCGUGCUUUGUGUGGGAGUUAUGCAAAUCUUCAUCAGAAUAGAUUGCUGUGAGGAAAGCAGAAAUGUUUGGUACAGCUAGAACAGGGGCAAAUAAAAGUAUGUUUCAGUAUCUUAAAAUGUUAAUCAUAAUAGUUAUACUAAAGUCCUGCAUUUAUUAGACACAUAUUAUCCAUUCAUCUAUCGGUGUAAAUAACAAUUUCUAUUAUAUCAUGCUCUAAAUAUUACAAUUGUGUAAUAGUACAAUAGUACAAUAGUACAAUAGUGAUGUAAUGAAGUUUCCGUUCAGCAGAGGUGGAACAUUAACACUUUUCACAUUAACAACAACAUUUAACUCUGCUGAUGACAGCCGGUCAGUCAACUCCACCUUUUGCAAGAGUUCACACACCAUCCACACAUCAGGUUUAAAGAGAUUGUAGAGAAGUUCAUCGUUGAGAAAAGGAUUUUGCUCGGGAGUAUUACGAUCCAUGAAUGAAGAUGGGGAGUAUUUCUGUCAAAACUGUAUGUAAAGGCACGGCGCUUCUGAUCUUUUUUAUUCUUCGGGGGUUGAAUGCACAGAAUGAUACAGAUAUCACAUCACUCCCUGUCACUUCAAACAUGUCUUCAACUGAGUUUGAAACAUCUCCUCAAAAACCUCCUACAACCUCAGCCACAACAAGCACUAUUUCAACUGAGUCUCAAACAGGUGAGUAUUUUUA